rnacentral:lncRNA from 1 species
CCAUAGUGUUCACUGGUGGGAUGGCUGUCAGUCUGCAGUUUGUAACAUAACAGGAUGUGCCUGGUCCACCUGGCACUGAUCACAUUAAACAAACCAGGAAGCUACAGCUUUACGGGGCGUGGCUCUCUGGGAAAAGUCACAUGGGCCAUGUAACUGUAUGGGCAUGUUUUAUGACAGAAAUAGCCUUUCGUGAAAGGGAUUACUGCUUAUAUUAAAUGUGGCUAAUGAGCAAGAGGAUCUGGGAAACUGUGUUGGAGAUCUUGGGCUAUUUGGUGAGCCCCAGUCUCAAAAAAAACAAAAAGGUCCAACCUGACAUUUGCCUGAAUUGUCCAAUUAGUCAAACAGAGUCAUUGACAUCUCUGCCAAUUUCACCCCCUACCCCAGUUGGUCCUGUGAAGAAAACAAGAGACACACAGGAGAAAAUACCUCUUGUUAAGGGCAGCAGUUUAAUGGGAUUUAGGAAAGGAAGAGAUUAAGAAGCUCUAGCCCCUCGGUGUUUUCCCCAUCAUUAUUUCCACGACUGUUUCUUGGGCUAUGAUGAGGAGUGGUCUAUUCCAGUGGAUAGUUAGUCAUCUGCGGCUCUCAGCUGCUUUCCAUGCAUUACUCUGUGUGAAAAAAAUUGACAGCCCCCAAUAUACUAACAUGUUGCCUUCAAAAAUUGUUAAGUUAAUUCAGUUUGGAUUGGAACACAUCUUCCCACAUGAAUAAUGCUUUAGUUCAAUUUUGAGCAAAUCGGCUAAGUGAGUUUUAAGACAAGGUCUCACUAUGUAGUUCAAGCUGGGUUUGAACUCACUAUGUAGCCCAGGCUGGCCUCAAACUCGUAGCCUUCCUCCUUCCUGAUUUAGCCUCCCAAGUGCUGGGAUUACAGGCGUGCACCACCACACCCAGCUUCAUUGGUUCUUAAUUGAAGGUCAUUUGCCCACGCAAGCCUUGAUAAGCCUUCAAUGAUUUCUUUUUGUCUUUGGGGAAAAGUCCUUACCUAUCAACCCAAGCCCUAGGAAUCAUCUCAUUUCCCACAAAUUCCCAGUGCUAACAAUCCUCAGCCAGUCAUCUGCUCCUUGAACCCUGGCCUCCGAUGGCUUUUCUUACCUCUGUGUCUGGGCCGCAUGGCUUCCGCUUCACAGACUCUAUUUGCCCUUGGUUAAGCCCUAAAAACCCCCUAAGGCCCAGGCAGAGGUCCCCUCCCUGGCUUCUGACUUCUGCCGCUGUGUGACUGUCCCACGGCUGCCCUCCUUAUCCCCGGCUCCUCCCCGCCAACUCCCGAAAGCCAGCUGUAGUACUGCAUCUUCUCCAGUAGGUGGCAACCUUCACAAACAGAAUUUGGGCGAUUUUGUUGUUUGUGUACCCACAGCAGUUACCUCAGCCGAUUUUGUUCGCUAAUUAGAAACAUUUGCUUCCUUGGAGUCACAAAAAUGUUCCCACUAUUAUUCUGUUUUGUGAGAGGAAACAAUCUGGGUUGUUAUUUAAGUGAUUCCAUUUUCCAGCCCUCACGUGCUUGGAAGAUCAGAAGAUAGCAAAACAAUGCUCCCUCUUCAUUAUUUUUCCCCAAAGAAUAAGGGGGGAAUAAUGCUUCUUUUAUCACUUUUGGCAUGUAAUUUUUAAUUUUUCACGAGAUGAUGAUAAUGUUAAAGUUUUAUACAGGGAUCUUUAUCAUUAAAAAUAAUAGAAUAGAGAGGAUGUUUUUAAAAACAUAAGGCUAGACUGCUAAUUGAAAACAAAGAGACUAAAAAGCUGGGAAUAUUGCUCAGAAUUCUGUCUCUAGUUAACAAGAAUAUUUGACAAUCUACAGCUUUAUGAAAUGGGGAAGUUGCUACAUAAUAUUUGGUACAUAAACAUUUUCUGGGAUAAUGACAAGGACGUUGUACCCAAGACUGUUCUUUCUGAGUUUCUACUUUGACUACUUGUGGCAUUAAAUGACAUCUUAGAAAAUACGUACCUCAUUUUCUUAUUGUGUCUCUCCAGAGCUUUGGGUCACCAGUUUAAAUUUUACUUCCUGUAGUGUUUCUUGGAUCACCAACUUCUAACGUCAUUUUUCCCUCCAACUGCCUUUCAUUAUGUGCACAAAUCAAGUGUAGUAUAAAGACAUGCGACUAAAUUUUAGCAAGCAAAAGGAAAUGCCUACUUCUAAAUAUACAUUGUGUUCUUCAAAAGAACC